CACUCGAACAUCAACAACACAACCAAACAAAGUUUUAUCAGAUUUAAAGACUUGACUGCAUAUGUUUGGAUGAUAAACUUUAUAGACACACGUGAGGAAAAUCUUUAGUUAUGUCUGGGCAAUGAGGAUGAGUAGGAAAGAGUUCAGCUUUACCUCAGAAAAGCAUUGGAACUUCGGCUGCAUCUAGAUCGACUGGAGGAUGAUAUUAUUCCCCACAACAAAUUUCCAACUCUACAAGAUACUUCUACAAGUACCGGAGGUACCGAGGUUGCAAAACUCUUCCUGUACUGAUGGGGACAGCAUAUACGCGUGUGUGUGUAUUGGUCGCUCCAGAUGAAUGCCAAGUUUAAGCACACAGGGAAUCCCUUCUAAAAAUGAUGACAUGGUUAGCUUGUCGCUAUCAAACAAAGGAUUUGGCAAAGCUUCUGAAAAACAGACACCCCAAUCUCUUUAAACAAUUCAAGGUGCAAAGUACCGACAGGAAUGUUCUUCAACAAGACAUAUAACUUUAUUAGCGUUACCCUGGCAACCGGAAACAAGUACUUAUCUGAAGAGGAAAGCAACUUCUCCUUCUGACAAAACUACGCCUGCACAUUUAAGAGAUGACAUUCUCAUUCAUGUUAUAAAGAGGCCAUUAAAAUGUUUUUUUUUUUAAAACAUAUCUUCAUUUAAAUGUUUUGUAAUGUUUUAAACACAUGUUCAGUAAAAUGAAUUAUUCCAUCUCUAAGUCUGUUAUUGAAUGUCUUUAAAAUAGUAAAGUUAAAGUAGGCAAAUAAGGAUACGUUAAUUAAGUUGUACUGCAGAUGUCCUCCCAAAGAAUAUUAAAUAAGAUAUUAAAUAAGAUUUAAAUUUUAAACUGGUUCCUUACACAAAACUUUUAAUCCAUUACGUUGUCACAACAUGACCACAACAGGCAGAUUACGGUACAAAGUUACGUCGAGGCGACAAAUCCAAUCCAGGAAUUUCGACUCAACUUUUUGAGUUACGUCACCACGACGUAACUAGGGCACUCACCCACCAACCAAGAGCUGACACAAAUUCAACAUUACUAAAACGUGUGUUGUUGUUUGUGAGGGAAAUUUAAUCUUGUUCAGCUUCCCCAACAUCAUGGGAACAAUAGAUGUAGUUUGUUUAUCCGGGGUAGAAGCGGACUUGUGCGAGUGUGUUUGUUUAACAAUGGAUUUCAUUUAAAUAGACACAUAAACCCUGAAUGCAGUGUGUUUAACAAGCAAAAGAGAACACAAGCUUCUUUCCUGUUUUUAACACAUUUUUUUAUGGUGAUAGAUAUGUAAAAAUUAUCAAGCAAUGUUAAGAAAGUGAAGCAUGAUGUAACUAUAGUAAGCAUAGUUAGUUAGUUUUUUGUUUUAUAGUUGUUCAUUUUUUGUUUUAUUUGCAGUAACCACUUAUUUGGUCUCACUGAAA